GUUCUGGCUUCUACCUUGAUUGGGACAGACUCAAAAUAUGGAAAAUUCUCCAGUUUGGGAAUUGCGUGCAAAAGAUGCAGGGGGGGCCAGAUAUUUGCUGUGGGGAGGAUCGAGUGGAAGCAACUGGGUGGAGUUUAUUCUCAAGCCUGAGGCAGCUGCCAGAAAAACAGGACUGAAGGGCACCAGGCUGCGUGAGGACCCCGGUGCCAGGCUGGGUUUAGGGUGCAGUGGAUGGGGCUGAGCCCCUCUCCCAUCCAUAAGUCCUGCCUGGAUGCCAGCUCCCACCCUGGGGCCAUGGCUCCAAGACCACCUUGAAUAAUCCAUGUGCCUGCAGCCCUACCUACCCUGCAUUAAAUCAUCCACUCCUCAUCACCAGGAACCAGGACCAGGUGAGCCUCGGAUCUUCAUAGCCCGUCUCACCUGCUGCACUUCUCUUCACUACCUGAGUCCUUAGGGCCUAGAAAGCCUCACGCAAAUCCUAACCAAGCGACCACAGGUGGAGGACAGUGACAUCUGGAGCAUCUGAUGGAGGCUCUGGGGCAGUUCAGAAGAAAGGCCUUUUUUUUUUUUUUUUUUUUUUUUGAGACAGGGUCACUCGAUCUCGGCUCACUGCAACCUCUGCCUCCGAGGUUCAAGUGAUUCUCAUGCUUCAGCUCCCCCAAGUAGGUGGGAUUACAGGUGCGUGCCACCAUGACUGGCUAAUUUUUGUAUUUUUUGGUAGAGACAGGGUUUCACCAUGUUGGCCAGGCUGGUUUCGAACUCCUGACCUCAAGUGUUUCUCCCACCUCAGCCUCCCCAAGUGCUGGGAUUACAGACGAGAGCCACCGCGCCUGGCCUGAGAAAGGCUUUUUCUAUGCCACAGAGAAGUUGGGCUCCCAGUCACGGGAGCAGCUGCGGCCGGUUCCAGCAGGGGGCAGCUCUCAAUGACAGCUGAAGGGCAUUGCAUAGCCAGAUGCGCACAUGGCUUUUAGGAACUGGGCUCUGCCUCCCCUGAAGUCUGUCUGAACCUGGGGCAUCACCGUCUCACCGGGCUGGGGCUUUGAUGCAUCAGGCCCAGAGAAAGAAACUUGGUAGAGGAGAGGAGGAAGGAGAUGCAACCUUCCAGGAAGCAGAAAUGUUCAAGGACUCUCAAAGGAAACUCCAGAAAACAAGGAGAGGCAGGAAUUGCCUUAUGAUCGCUUCUAGCUCUAUGUCUCACCUUUGAAAUAAAGCAUCUUCCUGGUCCCAGUGCAGAGACAGGUCCUGGGGGGAAGCAGGAGAGGAGAGAAUCAGCUCCUGUUCUCCUGUCUGCCUCAACUUCCCCAGGCCUACCCAGCCCACCUGGGCUAGGACGGAGGUGCUGGCAGCCUCUCCCCAUUAACCACACCCUGCAGGCUGAGGCGGGCAGGCUGAGGCGGGCAGGCUGGGGGCUGAGGAGACGCUCCUUCCCUGCAUUCCAUGGACAUGGUGCCUUGGGCCAGGCUGCAGAGGCCGCAGGGCCUGGCAUGUGCCCCGUGAAACUGGCCCUGCAGUGAGGCGGGGGCAGUGGGGAUGGAUGAACUCAUUCUUUCCUCGUCUGAGGCUGCUCUGAUCGUAAAACCGUGGACGCUGAGCAAAUGGCCCCAGAUGGGGAAACUGAGACCCAAAAUGAAGGGCGCAGUCGCCGAGUCAGCCAGUGACAGAGCUGGGGCUUCACUCCCGCUUCUCGAUUCUCAGCUCCCAUCCUCGUCCCUCUGCCUUUUAUGGAGCAGCAUGGAAGGAAUCAAAAACAGGCAGAGAACUUCAGGGGCCACUCUGGGCUGCUGUGAGUGAAGACUAGAGUUUGUGGGUGCAGUGCCUCCGGCUGCAGCUCUCCAGGCCCACACAGACCUGCUCCUGACACUCCUGGGGGUGCGCUGCCUGGGGGUCUUCCCUCCCCAGCCCUUCCCCAAGGUACAGUGAGUGCCUCAGGUCCUCCAGCUGCCCCUCUCCCAGUGGGAACUCACACUAGACAUGCGAGGGCAGUCAAGGAGAGCGCUUUCCUCGCUCGAGGAUAUGGGAGAGCUUUCCACCCUCCUCCUCAGGCCCCGGAGGCAGCGAGUGUGCCUGUCAGGGUUAUCAGGGUGCUCUGGGAAGGGCUCCACCUCCCCCGCAGGCUUCGCCAGAAUGCCCAACUGGGCUGCUCUCACUGCCUUUGACCUUCAGAACUCCCAAAAUACUCCCACCUCCUCCAGGAAGAAGGCGGGGUAGUGGGGGCUUUGGAGACCAAUAAGCCAGGGCCUGACUCCUAACUGGCCACCUAAUAGCUUUGUGACCUUGAGCAAGUGCCCUGGUCUUCCUGAGGGCGUGUUCUCAAGCUUCUCCGUUGUGUGGUUUUAGUGAGGGCUGGAGAUGGCGACACGUAGUAGACUCUCAAUUCAUGGUGGCUCUUAUUAUUAAAGCUGGCCAGGAUGUCCCUUCUGACCCCCAACCCUCCAGUUCCCAUAGUGCUGGGCCUUGUAACUGUCACUGUCCUGUGUAUGGGGUCAGGCUCUGGCCUCCCUCCCUCGCAACCCCUUCGGGGCAGGGUGAGAGUAAACAGGUCCCCUAGGUGUGGGACAGACGCCCGCUGCCCUCCUCCUGCCUUAUUCAUUCUCUCCAAAAACAUUAAUCACUGGUGGAUGGACAAACUGUAGGGCACCCGUAUGAUGGAAUGACCCCAGCAAUAAGGAAGAACAAAAUAGUAAUACAAUGAAUGACAUGGAUGACUCUCAAGGCACUGCGCUGAAGUUCAGCAGUUAAAUGAAAGCCGCCUAACUCAAAAGGCUGCAGACUCCGCCGCUCCCUGCGUCUGAACUCCAGGGAGGGCCACGCUGCAGCCAGAAAGCAGGUCAGGGCUUGCCUGAGGUGGGAUGUGGGAGCGGGGAUUGAUUGCAAUGGGGAAUGAGGGAAUUUUAUGGGGGGAUAAAAAAAAUCAAUGUUUCAUUUGAUGGUAGGUAGGUGGCUAUUUCCAUUUGGCAGAGCUUAUCAAACUGUAUGCGUAAAACAAGCAAAUUCUACAGUAUGCAAACUACACCAUAACGAAGCUGGCAGAGUAAAGACCUUCCAGUUUGGAAACUAUGAUCUGGGAAGUGACCCAUAUUGCCUGGCCAGAUACACGAGGGAAGAGUCAUCUCCCUAGGAAACGCUUAAGAAAGGCUCAGUCCUUAAAAGAAAUAAGAAACUGAGUGACCAGAAAAAAUGAGGGAGAAUUUGAAGAAAUACAGUACCAGGGCAUCAUAGAAGAGCUGGCUUUAAAUAGACUACAGAUAGUGCACUCAAGUCUUAGUGCAUUUGUACGCUGCCUGAAUUACCUGACCUUGGUCCCUUAUCUGAUAUCCUCAUCCCCCCGGGCUCUACCUGAAAAAAAAGCUCACACGCAUCUUUCAUAAAUAAUAAGAAGCUAUCCUUUAAUGAGAUGAUAUUUUAUCUCUCCUGGCCCAGGACGGGGAAGGCGCCCGGCCCCUCUUGAGUCACCAGGCUCUUAUGCAGUGGAGUUUCUCUCCUCUGCUUGCUUCCAGAGCCUUCUGCAGGCUACCAAGACAAAGCUUUCUCCCAUUCCUCUGGGCCCGGUCCUUCUGCUCUCUGCUGCUGCCCUCUCUGUCCCCAUUCCUCCUCUGCCUCUGGAAUGAUAGCAUCUCCCAGUGGCUUUCAUGUUGGAGUGCUGGCUCCUUAACUUAAGGUCAGCUUCUGAGGGCAGAAGGCUUGUCCCAUUUUCUCUCCUUCCCUCUGCCCUCUCCUUUGGAAUAAACGCACACAUUCACCAAUGCAGCCAUUGACUGUGUGGCUCGCCCACACUGUUCAGGAGAGAGGCCCAGCUCCAUCUAGCUUGAGCCCAAAGGAAAUUUAUUGGGCCACAUUCCUGAGAAGUCCAGGACGUGUCAGCUAGGUUGAGACACAGCUGGAUUCAGGAUUGACAAUCUCUUUUCCUGUCUCACUCUCUGUCUGCCUCUGUCUCAAUGUCUUCUUCCCUUCCUCUCCUCCCUUCCCCUUCUUCUCCCUAAUAUCUUUCUCUCUCUAAGUAAGUAUCCCCUGAGUAUACUUCCUCACUCCUCCUUAAGCCCGAAAACAAAAGAACAAGACACAAUAAAUCCCUCAUGUAAAUGGUCAUCCCUGACCUGGGGAAGUCCAAGAUAUCAAAAGCACAGCCUAUUAUUUUAUCUAUUCUUUCUAGUUGUGUAUAUAGCUGACUUUUCUGCUAGACUUUCCUUGUGUCCUCAAGGUGCCUGGCACAGGCCCAGGUACAUGGCAGCCCCCAGCCCCACCCCAGAUAGGAUGUGACACUUGGUUGGGGUGAGGUCAGAGUGGGAAAGGGAAGAAUCAG
rnacentral:lncRNA from 1 species